UUAUUUCGUGACGAAAUAACAAAGAUUACUUGGAUUUAAGCUAAUUAUAUACAUUAACAUUUUGAAUGUUGAAAGUGGCACCAAAGAAUUGUGAGGCAAAGUUGUUCGAACUAGAGAAAGACAUUUGCUGGUGAAGUGACUGGGUGGGGCGAACAUCAAGAUCAACUUGUUCGACGGUAGACAGUGGUUGUCUAGGCUGCAUUUCGGCCAUAGUUUCGGUGCAUGAAGGUGAACAAGAGGAAUCUGUUGGAUUGUAACAUUUACUGGACUGAGCAAGAAUAAUCACUUUUGCUGCUGUUCAACAGAUAUGUUGGAAUAAUUGGUUAUGGACUGGACAUUUUUGUGCCCUGUUAUGGCCAUGUGGGUGGAAUGUUUGCAUUUUGAAGUUUUUGGACCAGUAAUUUGCGAACUGAGUGGUUCGUUAUUCUCUUGUGCUUGAGAAAGCCGGCGUCUUUUGCCAUGGCCUUCAGCAUCUGACCUAACUUGUUGACACCCAAUUGUUGACGCAAGAAUCACCGGGAUGCAGUGUCAUUUGUGCGUAUUGCCAGGUAGAAAAGAUGCUUUGAAGAAAAAUCAGAUGGACGCAUAUCCGAGUACAGCUUGUAAAUGAACACAGGAUUUCUUGGUCCAGACGAUUGUUUUCUACGGUCAAAGGGGAGCAACUCGAACUGACUUCUUCAAAGGGGAGCAACAACAACAGAACCUAUUUGCAUAGUGUUAAAUUUACCUAAUACUAGGUUUUAAUGACAAUAAAUGACAAAAAACUCGUU